ensembl:lncRNA
ACAGUCAUCUAGAGGGACACAGGAUAGAGGGAGAACAUGAUGAAGGACAAGAGAGGACUGAGACAAUCGACACACAAAUGUGAUAAUGAGGGAACAUCAACAGAAAGUAAUCCAGCUGUAAUCUACUCAGCAAUAAGGGCUGAAGAUGUUAGUUAUGGACACAUAACCAUCACACCAAAGAUGAAAAGAGACUUUGAACCAGAGCCAGACGUCGUCUACUCUUCACUGAAGUAGUCCACCAGUCCAACCACUGACGUCUAACUGGCCACCCCAGCACCUCAAGAGUACAACUAUUCAUUAACAUAUUUUUUUAUGUUUUGUUUUUUUGUUUCUUUGUUUAUUUUUUCAUUUAUGUAGACUCAUAUGAUUUUUAAAAAAUAUGUUAAUAUAUUCCAUAGGUACAGUAAGUUAAUUGUUGUUUAUAAUACAAAUAUGAAUUCUCAGA